rnacentral:tRNA from 1 species
GCCGAGGUAGCUCAGGUGGUUAGAGCGAGGGAUUCAUAACCCCUAGGUCGCCGGUUCAAGUCCGGCUCUCGGCA